UCCGAGUUGACCCCGGCAGUCUCCUGCGAGUCCCCGCCAUUACGCGCUGGCAACACAGGACAAGGGUUGCGCUCGUUGCGGGACUUAACCCAACAUCUCACGACACGAGCUGACGACAGCCAUGCACCACCUGUGCCGGACGCCCAAAAGGCACCCCCCAUCUCUGAAGGAUUUCCCGACAUGUCAAACCCAGGUAAGGUUCUUCGCGUCGCAUCGAAUUAAUCCGCAUGCUCCGCCGCUUGUGCGGGCCCCCGUCAAUUCCUUUGAGUUUCAGCCUUGCGGCCGUACUCCCCAGGCGGGGUGCUUAACGCGUUAGCUGCGACGCUGAAAGGGUCGCUCCCCCCAGCAUCUAGCACCCAUCGUUUACGGCGUGGACUAC
rnacentral:misc_RNA from 1 species